rnacentral:rRNA from 1 species
UACUGAGUGGCGAACGGGUGAGUAACACGUGGGUGAUCUGCCCUGCACUCUGGGAUAAGCCUGGGAAACUGGGUCUAAUACCGGAUAGGACCAUGCUUUAGUGUGUGUGGUGGAAAGUUUUUUCGGUGUAGGAUGAGCCCGCGGCCUAUCAGCUUGUUGGUGGGGUAAUGGCCUACCAAGGCGGCGACGGGUAGCCGGACUGAGAGGUUGGUCGGCCACAUUGGGACUGAGAUACGGCCCAG